rnacentral:ncRNA from 1 species
CACUCUUCGUAGCUAGGAGACCCCUUUAGGGAGCCCUAUUGAAACUAAGCUAAGAUGGUGAAUUAUGCAUUUUCUAGAUUUGGAAAAAUACUGACUUAAUAGUAGAUCCAGAGUAGGGCGUAGAGUAGUGCAAGGUUGUGCCAGCACAAGCGGUUAAACAACCUGCUCGUUAAAGUGAUAACUCUUCGAGUAGUCUAGUGUUUUUAGUGAAACUAUUCAUUAGAAGAGAGGUAGAAUUCCUUCUACGUGAAGAAAGAAAGAGCUAGACAGAUAACUCGGUGAACAGACCGGGAUUAGAUACCCCGUUAUGCCGAAAGAGGUGAUACUCAACGGAGUACUGAGAUAAAAGGAAAAGAAUAGUUACUGGCGGUUAUCAACCCUUCUAGAGGAACAUGUGAGGGUGGAACGAAACUGCACGAGCAAUCAGUGUCACCUUUGCAAGGCCAUUCUGCCCACCACUGUCUGAAAGGGGGAGUCCGUUCUCCUUUUAUUCAAAUAGGAAAAUAAGGCAAGCAAACGUGCAGAUAAUAGGUGAAGACUCAUGUGUCCCAAUCUAACUGACGUACCUUCUUUGAAAAAAGAAGGGGAGGAGAAUUUAGAAGUAAGAAGGUAUUACAAUUCCUUUCUGAAAUAGGCUCUUGGUAACGUACAAAUUGCCCGUCACUCCUUUAGUAGAGGAGAAGUCGUAACACAGUUGUCCUACUGGAAAGUGGGACAGGAAAAGC